UGCCUUCCUAACUUAUCACCUUGCUUGGGUGUCCCAACUAUCAUGAAAUCCAUUUAUCUUUUUUAUUAAUUUGAAUAUGGAUAAAAAAUGUUUUGUUCUUAUGUCACAUGCAACAACACGGACAAAGACAAUCGUAUUUGUACCCAUUUCCGUUUUAUUAAUUUCCAAAUGAACAAAAUAUGUUAGUUGUUUUGGUUUUUUUAUUAUAAUAAUA